rnacentral:rRNA from 1 species
AUUGAACGCUGGCGGCAUGCUUUACACAUGCAAGUCGAACGGUAACAGGGAGCUUGCUCCGCUGACGAGUGGCGAACGGGUGAGUAAUGCGUCGGAACGUGCCGAGUAGUGGGGGAUAACGCAUCGAAAGGUGUGCUAAUACCGCAUACGUACUGAGGUAGAAAGUGGGGGACCUUCGGGCCUCACGCUAUUCGAGCGGCCGACGUCUGAUUAGCUAGUUGGUGAGGUAAAGGCUCACCAAGGCGACGAUCAGUAGCGGGUCUGAGAGGAUGAUCCGCCACACUGGGACUGAGACACGGCACAGACUCCUACGGGAGGCAGCAGUGGGGAAUUUUGGCCAAUGGGCGCAAGCCUGAUCCAGCCAUGCCGCGUGUCUGAAGAAGGCCUUCGGGUUGUAAAGGACUUUUGUCCGGGAGCAAAUGCUGGUGGCUAACAUCCACCGGAGCUGAGAGUACCGGAAGAAUAAGCACCGGCUAACUACGUGCCAGCCGCCGCGGUAACAC